AAGUGAGUGGCGGGCCAGUUGGCAACCUCGUACCAGCAGCAGGUGCCCCAGGUCCAGGAAGGUGAGGAUGCUACCUCUGAGGACAAGAAAAACAGGUGGUCAGCCAGGGAGGAGCAGCCGCUGUUGGAGACCUGCAGCUGGCUCCCACCCUUGGCUCACACAGCUGUUGGCGAUCAGCUGAUUACCGAUCUACUAUUUGAGGCUGGGUCACAGAUCCUCUCAUCGCUGGAUGAUUGAGCUACUGACUUUAUCUUCCCGGACCUGUGACCUCCCCGCAGUACGGACGUGUGUGAGUCGGAUGUGAGGACGUGAGCGAGCGUGAGAGAGAGAGCCUUCCCCUAAUCCCCUGGAACCCUGGACUUUCCCCGUCACUGUAUAUAGUAUUUAACUGGUGUGUAAAUAAAUCGUGUUCUGAUAGGUCAACCUGCUCUGCGCUUGAGUCCCUGCUUUCAGUUUGUGACAAUUCUGUUAAAUAAAUGAAUUUAUUAUUA
ensembl:lncRNA